AAAUUCCGUCUCAGACUGAUGCAGAGCGGUUUCAGAAGGUUGUGUUCAUACCUCUGCACGGGCACCUGGCCCUUGAAGAGGGAAGCUCUGGUGUGCAGCCCCCAGCUUUGCCCCAUUCCGGGUCUCAAGACAGGAGGAACUGGGAGCCGGAUUCCAAACUGAUUUGGGCUAAUGAUGUCCAUUGGCCUCAUUGCCUCUGUCAAGAACUGUAUAAAGCAACAGCUGGAAAAGCACUGAGUCCACAGCAUAUCCAGAGACCUCUUUGAUGAUUUCUACUCUUAUGCCAGGAGAACUGUCACCUCCAGUCUCCACCAGCUUUGACUACAGCCAAAGUCAGUGGCAGAAUAUCCCUUCCAAUACCACCAGCCCUCUCAGCUCUACAAGCCAAAGCACCCACAGAAGCCA